rnacentral:rRNA from 1 species
AGUCGAGGGGUAGUCAUCUUCGGAUGAUGAGACCGGCGCACGGGUGCGUAACGCGUAUACAAUCUACCUUUUACAGAGGGAUAGCCCAGAGAAAUUUGGAUUAAUACCUCAUAGUAUUUUUGAAUGGCAUCAUUUGAUUAUUAAAGUUCCAACGGUAAAAGAUGAGUAUGCGUCCCAUUAGCUAGAUGGUAAGGUAACGGCUUACCAUGGCAACGAUGGGUAGGGGUCCUGAGAGGGAGAUCCCCCACACUGGUACUGAGACACGGACCAGACUCCUACGGGAGGCAGCAGUGAGGAAUAUUGGACAAUGGGCGCAAGCCUGAUCCAGCCAUGCCGCGUGCAGGAAGAAGGUCCUAUGGAUUGUAAACUGCUUUUAUACAGGAAGAAACACACUCUCGUGAGAGUACUUGACGGUACUGUAUGAAUAAGGACCGGCUAACUCCGUGCCAGCAGCCGCGGUAAUACGGAGGGUCCAAGCGUUAUCCGGAAUCAUUGGGUUUAAAGGGUCCGUAGGCGGUUUAAUAAGUCAGUGGUGAAAGCCCAUCGCUCAACGAUGGAACGGCCAUUGAUACUGUUAAACUUGAAUUAUUAGGAAGCAACUAGAAUAUGUAGUGUAGCGGUGAAAUGCUUAGAGAUUACAUGGAAUACCAAUUGCGAAGGCAGGUUACUACUAAUAUAUUGACGCUGAUGGACGAAAGCGUGGGGAGCGAACAGGAUUAGAUACCCUGGUAGUCCACGCCGUAAACGAUGGAUACUAGCUGUUCGGAGCAAUCUGAGUGGCUAAGCGAAAGUGAUAAGUAUCCCACCUGGGGAGUACGUUCG